rnacentral:piRNA from 1 species
UGCUAUAUGGCAGCAAUAUAA